GGAUUGUGGCUCAGUGGUAGAGCACUUACCAAGCAUGUGUGAGGUUCUGGGUUCAAUUCUCAGACCA
rnacentral:tRNA from 1 species